rnacentral:rRNA from 1 species
UACGUAGGGUGCGAGCGUUGUCCGGAAUUAUUGGGCGUAAAGAGCUCGUAGGCGGUUUGUCGCGUCUGCUGUGAAAACUGGAGGCUCAACCUCCAGCCUGCAGUGGGUACGGGCAGACUAGAGUGCGGUAGGGGAGAUUGGAAUUCCUGGUGUAGCGGUGGAAUGCGCAGAUAUCAGGAGGAACACCGAUGGCGAAGGCAGGUCUCUGGGCCGAUACUGACGCUGAGGAGCGAAAGCGUGGGGAGCGAACAGG